rnacentral:rRNA from 1 species
AGUGAACGCUGGCGGUAGGCCUAACACAUGCAAGUCGAACGGCAGCACAGUAAGAGCUUGCUCUUACGGGUGGCGAGUGGCGGACGGGUGAGGAAUACAUCGGAAUCUACUUUUUCGUGGGGGAUAACGUAGGGAAACUUACGCUGAUACCGCAUACGACUUACGGGUGAAAGCAGGGGAUCUUCGGACCUUGCGCGAUUGAAUGAGCCGAUGUCGGAUUAGCUAGUUGGCGGGGUAAAGGCCCACCAAGGCGACGAUCCGUAGCUGGUCUGAGAGGAUGAUCAGCCACACUGGAACUGAGACACGGUCCAGACUCCUACGGGAGGCAGCAGUGGGGAAUAUUGGACAAUGGGCGCAAGCCUGAUCCAGCCAUACCGCGUGGGUGAAGAAGGCCUUCGGGUUGUAAAGCCCUUUUGUUGGGAAAGAAAAGCAGCAGGUUAAUACCCCGCUGUUCUGACGGUACCCAAAGAAUAAGCACCGGCUAACUUCGUG